GUUGACUUCUCUGUCCGCUGCUUCCCCCAGCCGGCCGAGCGCACCUCCAAUAAAGGAAGAGGGUCUUUAUUUUUUCUAAAAGGCCCCAAAGAGUCCAGUGUUUACGAGACUAGAAAUGCUACGGCCACGUCCUGGCAGAAAGAAAGGCUGAAAUGGAGGACCGACGCCUUCCUUAUAAGCUCAUUGGGGCCUGAGCCAGCACCAACCUGGUGGAAAAAGCAACGACGAAGCCAGAGAGGGAAGAGAGCGCCAGACAUGAAAAGGAAGCAGGCGCAGUAAUGCAAGGAAAGGAGGCGGCAGCAGGUCCCGGAACAGCCAGACAGGCACUCACAGAAAGAGGCCGUGAUUAUCCUGCUGCAAACAGGACUUGGGAUUCUAAAUAUAGACCCUGACUUCAACAAGAGAUGUGUCAGAGACAUGGAGAUGGGAGACCACUUAUAUAAAUAAUCAGUGUGGACGGAGAAGGGGUUUUUAAAAGAUGGAAAUAAUAGAAAAACAGAAAGAAAAGAGGCUCAGCCGAUGGAGAUUGUCAUUGCCAAUGCCUGAACUUCCUCCUGCUACUGUUUGUAAGAUAGCCAAAUAAAUGUGUAUUAUAAAUACAAAAACACGUGAGCUCAAA